UUUGAGUACCAAAGGACUCCUCAGGGAUCCCUCUCACCCCCUUCCCAUCUAGUCCAGAUUCAUCUGUCCUAUGCCCCCUUCUCUCUGCUUAACCUCACACUCCAACCUAAUGCAACCAAUUGCACAGGGCCUAAUGCUCAGAAGGUGUCUGAGCUUGGCUUAGCAGCUUAAAACUCAUCUUUGUUUUCUUUCUUUUUUUUAACAAGGAGCCACACUUUCCUUCAGGUCUAGGUCCCACAGGACAGGUAGCUGGCUCAUCUCAUAGCCCUGAGGCCAUUGUUGAUCUUCUCCAGCCUUCUGGACCAUAGCUAGACCUCAUUGUUGCUGUCCAGCCAGGACCCGGGCUGACCUUGUCCUCCUGUAGCUCCUGCCAGCCUCCCCUGGGACCUCCUAUUGGUGACAACUCACAGCAGCUUCUUACAUUCCUAUCUUCUGCUUCUGCUGGUGCUGGGAACUCAACCACAGAGAAGCCUGCUUCCAAGAUAACUGUCAGAUGAUGGGGAGGUUUACUUCCCACUCCUUACCCUUAGUCAGGGUGGGAAGCCUUCAAAGGAGCUACUUAUUCAUCCUGGCUGCUCCCUUCACAUCCUGCCAGAGCCUGAUGGUGUUUGUGCAACUUUCCUGUCAGCUUGUGGGAGCAGUUCAAAGAGUCUCAGCCUUCCUCACUGCUUCCUCUGCAGACAAGCAGCUCUCCUGCUGCUCCCCUGCCCUGGUCUCUCAAGGAAACUACCCUUUCCUCUGCCUCCCUCCCUGCAGCAGGUCAAGGAGUAUCUUGAGAGAAGAUAGGGUCAUCUGAAGCAGGUCUUCUGGCGAUCAGCAACAGCAGAGAAAUGUUACAGGGAACCCGCUACCUGUGGGAGUUUUCUGUAUUUUCCAGCUCACACACAUUCCAGAAAGAAUGUCAGUCAGAAUAAAUGACUGUCUUUUG